rnacentral:lncRNA from 1 species
GGACCUAAGGAUAUAGGAUAGCUCACAAUCUUUAUUCUUCUUACUUCUCUAGCUAAUUCUCUAAAACACAAACUUUUCAAAAUGGCCGACAAUGCAAUGUUAAAGACACUAAAAGAAUUUGAUUUGAAGAUCCAAGGAAUUGAUUCCUUAAUUGAUUGCAAAAGUAGAAUGAUAACUCAAUUAACUUUGGAUGCUGUUAAUCCCCCUAAUAGGGAGGAAAUUGAAGCUAGGCUUACUACUGCAAUGGAGGAGCUUGAUGAACUAGCAAAACAGCGCCAAGUUCUUGUCGCCAACAAACAUGCUUUGGCAAGUGGUCAUAUGAAUAAUUAAUUAUUCAUGAGCCUGGCACCACAACAAACAACAAUAGACUAUCUUUCUUUCUUUUUUUUUCUUUUUUAGUUAGUAGACUAUUUCAUUUUGAGGCUAGUAUCUAGUAUUUCAUUUUUGAACUACUAGGUACUUGAUUACUACUAAAUAACCUUGAAUUGAAAUAGUCUUUAAUUUGUAAUGUCUAGAUUUAAUCUAGUCUUUGUUUGUUGUUUGUCUUGAUUUCAAAUGUACUACUGUUUGUUGUUAUAAGUUGUGGUAUUAUAUCUAAUUUAUUUUCUUUUGUUA